rnacentral:rRNA from 1 species
AGCAGCCGCGGUAAUACGGAGAUGGCGAGCGUUACUCGGAUUCAUUGGGCGUAAAGGGCAGGUAGGUGUCCUAUUAAGUGGGGGGUGAAAUACUUCGACUCAAUCGAAGAACUGCCUUCCAAACUAGUAGGAUUGAGUGUGAGAGAGGAAAGCGGAACUCUCGGUGUAAGGGUGAAAUCUGUAGAUAUCGAGAGGAACACCAGUAGCGAAGGCGGCUUUCUGGAUCACAACUGACACUGAGCUGCGAAAGCUAGGGGAGCAAACAGGAUUAGAUACCCUGGUAGUCCUAGCUGUAAACGAUGAGUACUUGGUGUCUUGGGUUAAACUAAGGUGCCGAAGUUAACACAUUAAGUACUCCACCUGGGGACUACGGCCGCAAGGCUAAAACUCAAAGGAAUUGACGGGGGCCCGCACAAGCGGUGGAACAUGUGGUUCAAUUCGACGAUACACGAAGAACCUCACCAGGACUUGACAUGUAGGUAGUAAGAACCUGAAAGGGAGAUGACUCGUCAAGUCGAGUGCCUACACAGGUGUUGCAUGGCUGUCGUCAGCUCGUGUCGUGAGAUGUUGGGUUAAGUCCCGCAACGAGCGCAACCAUCAUCUUUUGUUGCCACUCUGCUUUUGGGAAACCAAAAUCAGAAGCACUCUAAAGAGACUGCCCGCGAUAAGCGGGAGGAAGGUGGUGAUGACGUCAAGUCAGUACGGCCCUUAUGUCCUGGGCUACACACGUGUUACAAUGGAGUGUACAAAGGGUUGCCAAGCCGCGAGGCGCAGCUAAUCUCAAAAAACACUCCUCAGUUCGGAUUGGAGUCUGCAAUUCGACUCCAUGAAGCUGGAAUCGCUAGUAAUGGCGGAGCAGAUAUGCCGCCGUGAAUACGUUCCCGGGCCUUGUACACACCGCCCGUCAAGCGAUAGGAGCUGGGAGCACCCUAAGUUCCGCCAUAGGCGGACCGAAGGUGAAACUGGUGACCGGCGCUAAGUCGUAACAAGGUAACC